CACUAUCGUUAACUGAAUACAUAGGUUAACGAGGCGAACCGGGGGAACUGAAACAUCUAAGUACCCCGAGGAAAAGAAAUCAACCGAGAUUCCCCCAGUAGCGGCGAGCGAACGGGGAGCAGCCCAGAGUCUGAAUCAGCUUGUGUGUUAGUGGAACGGUCUGGAAAGUCCGACGGUACAGGGUGAUAGUCCCGUACACCAAAAUGCACAGGCUGUGAACUCGAAGAGUAGGGCGGGACACGUGGUAUCCUGUCUGAAUAUGGGGGGACCAUCCUCCAAGGCUAAAUACUCCUGACUGACCGAUAGUGAACCAGUACCGUGAGGGAAAGGCGAAAAGAACCCCGGCGAGGGGAGUGAAAAAGAACCUGAAACCGUGUACGUACAAGCAGUGGGAGCACCUUCGGGUGUGACUGCGUACCUUUUGUAUAAUGGGUCAGCGACUUAUAUUCUGUAGCAAGGUUAACCGUAUAGGGGAGCCGCAGGGAAACCGAGUCUUAACUGGGCGUUAAGUUGCAGGGUAUAGACCCGAAACCCGGUGAUCUAGCCAUGGGCAGGUUGAAGGUUGGGUAACACUAACUGGAGGACCGAACCGACUAAUGUUGAAAAAUUAGCGGAUGACUUGUGGCUGGGGGUGAAAGGCCAAUCAAACCGGGAGAUAGCUGGUUCUCCCCGAAAGCUAUUUAGGUAGCGCCUCGUGAAUUCAUCUUCGGGGGUAGAGCACUGUUUCGGCUAGGGGGUCAUCCCGACUUACCAACCCGAUGCAAACUACGAAUACCGAAGAAUGUUAUCACGGGAGACACACGGCGGGUGCUAACGUCCGUCGUGAAGAGGGAAACAACCCAGACCGCCAGCUAAGGUCCCAAAGUCAUGGUUAAGUGGGAAACGAUGUGGGAAGGCACAGACAGCCAGGAUGUUGGCUUAGAAGCAGCCAUCAUUUAAAGAAAGCGUAAUAGCUCACUGGUCGAGUCGGCCUGCGCGGAAGAUGUAACGGGGCUAAACCAUGCACCGAAGCUGCGGCAGCGACACUAUGUGUUGUUGGGUAGGGGAGCGUUCUGUAAGCCUG
rnacentral:rRNA from 1 species